AAUAAUUCUCUUCGUCCAUCGUCGACUUACAAAGAACGUCACCAUAUAUUGCAUUAAAAGGGACAGUUUGCUUAUUUGAAACAUCAUUUUUUUUAAUGUUUUACAAUGUAGGGUCAGCUUGCCAUCAUCAACACAGUACCAUCUGUCUGGCCGGGAAUAACGUUUUUCCUCCCAUACUCCAGUGAGUCCCUCGGUGUAAUCAGAAAGCCUCAUGCUUUGCCUCGCCUUCCUCUUGCUAAGACCAGCAUGGGAGGGGGGCUCAUGUGUGAGCUGAUAGAAUACAGCCAUGGUGUUGAUACCUCUCUUCAGCACUAUUGGACGUGCCAUUACAGAUGUGCAUCAGAACGGAUUGUGGAAGGUACCCACAUGACAUCUUUACAUCCAAAAAAAUGUACGUACGAUCAGCAAUCCUCUGGAGGUCCUUGAAGAUACGGAGGUGGUGAGCCAGACUGAUCAUAGGGCUGUGAGUGAUUGAGGCAGAGUGUGAGAGACUUGUGAUUGGCCGGCAGCCCACCUCCAUCACAGAGCCUUCAGAGCUGUAGAGAGCAGCCAGCACGGAUUGCUGUGAAACCAAAACAGGAACACACAUACAUCAGGCCAAACAUCACUCACGCAAUUUGUAUUUGCCUUCUGAUAUCGGAAAAUAUAAUUUUCUAGAUAUAUUAAUCAUAAUAAAUAAUGA